GUAUGUGCGCGCGCGCACACACAUAUGUAUGCAUGUGUAUAUAUAUAUGUGUGUGUGUGUGUGUGUGUAU